ACUGGUGCCACGGGGCCAUCAGAUGAUGGCAACCCUCGAGGACCUCCUCCACCUCCAGGCAGCAAUCAGGGGGCUCAUCAUCCAGGUGAUGUCAACCCUCAAGGACCUCCUCCACCUCCUGGCUGUACACGGCAUCCUCCGCCACCUCCUCCCCCGCGUGCUCCUCCCAAUGGCCCUACAGGCAGCACUCAGGGGGCUCAUCGUCCAGGUGAUGCCAACCCUCAAAGACCUCCUCCCC